rnacentral:tRNA from 1 species
GUAAAGUUAGAAUAAGUAAAUUCGUAUUUGUGUCAAAAAUAAAAUAUUGGUUGGUAAUACUUUACU